rnacentral:tRNA from 1 species
GGUGUCGUGGCUCAGUGGUAGAGUGCUUGCCUAGCAUGUAUGAGGUACUGGGUUCGAUCCCUGGUACCA